AUUGAACGCUGGCGGCAGGCCUAACACAUGCAAGUCGAGCGGAUGAAGGGAGCUUGCUCCUGGAUUCAGCGGCGGACGGGUGAGUAAUGCCUAGGAAUCUGCCUGGUAGUGGGGGAUAACGUCCGGAAACGGGCGCUAAUACCGCAUACGUCCUGAGGGAGAAAGUGGGGGAUCUUCGGACCUCACGCUAUCAGAUGAGCCUAGGUCGGAUUAGCUAGUUGGUGGGGUAAAGGCCUACCAAGGCGACGAUCCGUAACUGGUCUGAGAGGAUGAUCAGUCACACUGGAACUGAGGCACGGUCCGGACUCCUACGGGAGGCAGCAGUGGGGAAUAUUGGACAAUGGGCGAAAGCCUGAUCCAGCCAUGCCGCGUGUGUGAAGAAGGUCUUCGGAUUGUAAAGCACUUUAAGUUGGGAGGAAGGGCAGUAAGUUAAUACCUUGCUGUUUUGACGUUACCAACAGAAUAAGCACCGGCUAACUUCGUG
rnacentral:rRNA from 1 species